UGCCAUUGCGUACUUGCAACAUGAUUUUUUUUAAAAAAAAAAUAUUUACAUAGCUGUCUAGCUUCAAAACCCCUUAAUUUUUAAUUUUUUUAACCUAAAAUCACAUAUUUUUUGUUCGCCCCUUUCUUUUUCAAGAAAGAACAGACGAAGGCUCUAGAUAAAAAUUUUCAUCCCAAAUCUCAUGUCUCCCAGUUCUUUGAAAGAAUUGCUUAAAUUUCUCGAAUCUAAAGGCAGGUAGGACUCUAAUCUACAUUCGACGAUGAAAGAAUCGAGAGUGACUGGAUUGGAGGAGCAAAAGAUGCAUAAAAUAAGGUCUGCUCUGUGAUGCUGAAGAUUUUGUUACUGACUAUGCAGCUUCUGAGAUGGAUCACAAAAUGUAGGAAAACCUAAAAAAGAUGAGCUCUUUGAAACCCUGAAUCUUUUAUGCUUUUUUUUUUUCAUAUUUGGAUAUAAUGCAUGCGACCUUCUUUUUAUAUAUAUUUUUUAUGAGUUUUUAUUUCUGAGAUUAAUUUGCUUUGAGUUCUUGGUUGUGGAUUCCUUUUUUUUUUUAUAGGAUUUGCCUUUGUUUCUUCUUUGAUCGAGUUUGAUUUGUUUGCCAAUUUGUUAGGAUGGUUGAAUCGAUUUGUUUUGUUCCUUCUCUUGCCAGAUACAUAUUUCCAUGUUCACCUCCUUUCAUCUUUCUGUUAGAUCUUCACUUUGUUUCUUCAAUUUCCUGGGAGCUGUUUCUCUUUCAUCAGAAUUGCUUGCUGGUUUGUUUUGGCCUGCCAACCUAAGGAGAUUUAUAGUUUUAUUUUUUUUUCCAAAUCAUGGAUCUUUAUAUUUUGAUAUAGGAAAGAAUUUUAUUGAGAGAUUGCUGCCUAUAGCUGCUUAUAUUUUUAUGUGGCCUGCUUCUGUAACUUGUAGACAUAUGGAGCCUCCUAUUGGAAAUGCCUUGCUUAAAAGGUAGCAUCUCACCUGCUCAUUGUCUGUAUUUUAAAAUUGGGAUGUUUGAAGAAUUUGUUUAUGCCAUGGCACCAACACCUUUACAGGCUUGUUUUUUGUGUCUUUUUCAGUUUUAUUUUAGAGAGCAUUAAUGAUUGCCAUUUUUUUUAACAAGCUAGCUCAAAUGGUUUGUGUAUUUUUCUCAUUUGGUUGAACCUUUGGGCUAGUGUUAUGGGUAUUAUGAUAGGCUGUCAUGAUUGUGCAUUUAACUCACUGUCAUUACAUCUUCUCUUUAUCACCUCUUGAAUCUAUAGGAAGUUGCUUCUCUUGCAUCAGAAUUGCUUUUUGAUUCGUUUUGGCUUGCCUUUCCAAAGUGAUUUGCAUUUUCUUUCCUUCUAAUCCUCACUCUCAUCCAUCCCUCUUUCGGUUUGUUCACAAUCAAGCUCUGACCAGAUAGGUUAAUUGCCAAUGAUCAUCAUUUUUUUUUGCAAUCAUGAAACUACAUUAGUUGCUAUCAUUUAAAUUUAAUAUUGCUUUGAUCAUGAUUUUUGUCUCAUGAUGCUAGAGUUAGAUUAUGAAUUAAUACAACUACACUUAAUUUAGUUCACGUGAAUAGAGAAAAGUAUGUUACACUCAUCAUGCAUGAAAUAAGACUUAGUUAUGACUAUAAAAACUCAAAGAGAAUGGGGAGAAAGUUUAAAGAGUCUUUUGUUUAUUCUUCUGCAACUAUUUUGCAUGCAUUCAAGGUGUCUUUAAAUAGAACUUCAGUUUGACAGAGGUAGAGUAGAAAUGCAAUAAACAUCCUAUUAGUUAGCCUGUACAUGAUAUACAUUUGAAAUCAAAAACUUUUAUCUCCUCUGUUUCAGGAGUCUGCUGCUGGAUUUGAAAAGGUCUCAUUGACUUGUUCUUCUACACGCCUCCACAGUUGAAAGGGAAAGGAACGAACAUUGAGACUGUCACGCAGGAGAAGAAACUAAGUGGAAGACAAUGGUUUUGUAAGGGCAUCUGCAUAUUGAUCUUUUCUGGAAACAAAUUGAACAUGAAGUUGACAACGUAGAACUUGAUCAUGAAUAAAAAGGAAGUCAAUUUCAAUAUGUUUUGUAUGGAAGUCAAUUUCAAUAUGUUUUUUGUGAGCAUGUAAUAAAGGAUUGCUAGUCAAACAAGUAGCUUUUGUGUUGUCACACCAAAGAAUUGGCGAAUGUACAAGCUGAACAUGAAGAUUAGUGAGCAAGGAUUUUAUCCAUCGAAUUUCUUGAGCAACAUUUG